CUGUCCCUGUGCUGGUCCGAGCUGGGGCCGGGCCGGCGGAGCAGCAGUUCCAGCCCCGGGUGUCCCUGGAGCGGUGGGAGCUGCCGGUGGCCCCAGGCAGGGUCCCCUGAGGAGCUGCUGAAGGACGCUGCCCUGCAGAGCCUGAGGACAGGCGGAGACUGGCAGGAGGCAGCAGGGAGAAGCUGCAGGCCGGCAGCAGGAGCAGGGAGCAGGGAGCUGCUGCUGCCAGCCGAGAGGCCGGGAGAGCUGCUCUGCACGGGAGGAAGCAAGGACGGAGGGAAAGGCUUUGAAGAUGGGGCACUGGAAUCCCUCUGCUUCGAGUUCUGUUUAAAGAUCUUUGGACUUGAACAUAGAGAGGGAUAUUUAUAUGGAUAUUUAUAUAUGUGGGUUUUAAUUUGUAUAGUAAUAUUUCUACAUGUUUAUUGUUAUAUUUAUGACUGUAUGCUAUGCAUAUAUGUGUGUAUAUAUGCAUACAUGUUUGUAAUUACAUGUAUUUUUAUAUAUGUGUCUAGGUAUUUGUAUAUAUAAGUAUGAUGUUUUGUGUUUAGUUCUAUUUCCUUUGUAUACAAUUGUGUAGUUAUUUCUAUUGAUGUCGUAGUUAUAUGGCUCUUUCAAUAGCUGUACCGGUAUUUGUAUAAGUAAAUAUCUAAUUAUAUUUAUACAUAUAUUUUGAUCUAUUUGGAUAUAAUUCUAUUUACAUAUAUGGGGAGAUUUGUAUUGAUUGACUUCUUGGUAGAGGGUUAUUUAGAUAGAGAUACUGAUAUUUUUGUAUUCCUAGAUGGGCUUUAAGUUUAGAUAAUAUGUAAUAAAUUAAGUUGUUAAACACCUAACUGAUCUUUGUGUAUAGUGAGGUUUAGAGGUUUUAGAGGUUAGUAAUAAAUUAAGCUUUUGUUAACUGAAAAUGGUCUUUGUAUAUUUUUAUAUAGCAGUGUUGUAAAAAUGUAAUAAAUUCCUUUUUUAACUUAAACUGAGAUCAGCAUAGAUGUAUAUCAUCAGCGUGGGUGUAGCAAUUUGUAAUAAAUUAUAUUUUUCAUGUGAAAUCAAUUCUUGUGUAUUUGUCAUUCAGCAGUGCAGCUGUAGCAAUCUGCACAAAAUUACAAUUGUCAGCUGGGAUGGGUGUUUUGUGAUUUGUGCUAUCCAGAGCAGUGAGCAGAUGUAAAUGCUGGAGGAUUUUGGCCAUGGGAUUCUCCACCCAUGCCCAGCACAUCAUCCCCUUGCCCUCAGGCUGGGCAAGGAAAGCGCAGAUUUGGGAUGGCAGCAGAGCCACACGUUGGCUCAGAACUCGCUGCAAAGGCUGCUGAGAAAACUCCAGGACUGCACGGAGCGUACAGCUCCAACCAGAGCC